rnacentral:rRNA from 1 species
UACGUAGGGACCGAGCGUUGUCCGGAUUCAUUGGGCGUAAAGAGCUCGUAGGCGGCCACUCAAGUCGAAUGUGAAACCUCGAGGCUUAACCUCGAGCCUGCAUUCGAUACUGGGCGGCUAGAGUCUGGUAGGGGGAUCUGGAAUUCCUGGUGUAGCGGUGGAAUGCGCAGAUAUCAGGAGGAACACCGGUGGCGAAGGCGGGAUCCUGGGCCAGUACUGACGCUGAGGCGCGAAAGCUAGGGGAGCAAACGGG